rnacentral:rRNA from 1 species
UACGUAGGGUGCAAGCGUUGUCCGGAAUUACUGGGCGUAAAGAGCUCGUAGGUGGUUUGUCGCGUUGUUCGUGAAAACUCACAGCUUAACUGUGGGCGUGCGGGCGAUACGGGCAGACUGGAGUACUGCAGGGGGAGACUGGAAUUCCUGGUGUAGCGGUGAAAUGCGCAGAUAUCAGGAGGAACACCGGUGGCGAAGGCGGGACUCUGGGACGUGACUGACGCUGAGACGCGAAAGCGUGGGGAGCAAACAGG